rnacentral:rRNA from 1 species
AUGGCGCAAUUUUGGACUGAAGGAUCACUGGAAAAGAACAACGCUCUGGUUGACUAUCUGAAGCAAUAUGGUGUUGUUCGAACGGACAAAGUGGCAGAAGUUAUGGAAACUAUCGACCGAGCCUUAUUUGUACCAGAGGGCUUUACCCCUUACAUUGACAGUCCUAUGCCUAUUGGUUACAAUGCAACAAUAUCCGCUCCUCACAUGCAUGCAACCUGCUUAGAACUGUUGAAGGAUCAUUUACAGCCAGGCAUGCAUGCUCUGGACGUUGGAUCAGGCAGUGGCUACUUGACAGCUUGUUUUGCAAUGAUGGUCGGACCAGAAGGUCGCGCAGUGGGGAUUGAACACAUUCCUGAACUUGUUGCUGCUUCAACUGAAAAUGUCGAACGGAGUGCUGCGGCAGCACUACUGAAGGAUGGUUCACUUUCUUUUCAUGUUUCAGAUGGAAGGCUUGGCUGGCCGGAUGCGGCGCCAUACGAUGCUAUUCAUGUGGGUGCAGCGGCACCUGAGAUCCCUCGGCCGCUGCUGGAGCAGCUGAAGCCUGGCGGGCGCAUGGUCAUACCGGUCGGCACAUACUCUCAGGACUUGCAGGUGAUCGACAAGAGCUCCGACGGAUCCACCAGCGUCCGGAACGAUGCCACUGUCCGAUACGUCCCUCUGACCAGCCGCUCUGCUCAGCUGCAGGACAGCUGA